CCUCACGAGACUUGGGGACACUAGCUCGUCAAAAAUAAUUUUAGUGUGCCUAGACCAUACCUCAAAGUAAGGAUACCAUCGAGGAUUUCCAAGGAUUUUGACUGAAGUUUCAAGAGAUGGAGGCCUAAUAAGCAUUCCUCUCGUUGUGACCAAUUGUGUGAAGGAACAUUGCUACUUGUUCCUCAACACAACAAUGGAUACUAUCAGAAAGAAGGCUUCUUUGUUUCAGUGUAUCACACAACAAAAAGAAUGGUGCUCUCCUCAAUCUUAGCAUGCGCAAACAAAUCGUAUCAUCUUUAUGGUAAAUACUAGAAAGGUAGUCAUUUCGUUUCAUUUCCAUAUCAAUCAUUGGGGCAUAUGAAAUCCGUUUCCUUUUCAUCUUCCUCCUCACAAUCAGAAUAUAAUAAA